rnacentral:rRNA from 1 species
GAUGAACGCUGGCGGCGUGCCUAAUACAUGCAAGUCGAGCGAACAGAUAAGGAGCUUGCUCCUUUGACGUUAGCGGCGGACGGGUGAGUUACACGUGGAUAACCUACCUAUAAGACUGGGAUAACUUCGGGAAACCGGAGCUAAUACCGGAUAACAUAUUGAACCGCAUGGUUCAAUAGUGAAAGGCGGCUUUGCUGUCACUUAUAGAUGGAUCCGCGCCGUAUUAGCUAGUUGGUAAGGUAACGGCUUACCAAGGCAACGAUACGUAGCCGACCUGAGAGGGUGAUCGGCCACACUGGAACUGAGCCACGGUCCAGACUCCUACGGGAGGCAGCAGUAGGGAAUCUUCCGCAAUGGGCGAAAGCCUGACGGAGCAACGCCGCGUGAGUGAUGAAGGUCUUCGGAUCGUAAAACUCUGUUAUCAGGGAAGAACAAAUGUGUAAGUAACUGUGCACAUCUUGACGGGACCUGAGCAGAAAGCCACGGCUAACUACGU